GGCUGACGCUCGCGGCGGAGGCGCCGGGGCCGCCGCUCGGGGGCGAGGGCUCGUGCUCCUCCCGCUUUACGGCUGCUGAAACCCCGGCCCGCGCCCGGCAGCCGUACCGCAGACGAGCUCGCGCCCGCGCCGCUCAGAUCUCCCAGCUGGACAUUGGAAAUAGCUUUUGAUGGUUUAGGGCCUCUUUCAUUUGACCCCAGGAAAUGAGCUUUGACUGUUAGUCACCUGGAUGAAGAGCCCUGAGUUUAGCUCGUCAGAGUCCUGUAACCUGCAAAGACCCUCUGGUUGUACAAGGAUCGAUCGAUUGAACAACAGUUUUUGGAUGGGAGAACAUUGUCCAGUAACAAACAGUUGGAAGGCAGAGGCACUUACCUUCUUCCUUUCUGGAUCAACUUUCUUCAAGUAAGAAUCUUUACACACGGUGGGAGCUCAAUAAAUGCUGUUGAUGGAUACACCUAGACAAGUAAAACAAAUAUGUCUUACUUGAGCCUGAAAUCUUUUUUUGGCACACAGUAAAAGAGCCAUGCAACUCUUAUAACUUUACAUAGAGAUAUUCUACAGGUUUACAAAGUAUGUAUGAAAAUUGGCCUGAGGAUGUUGGGUGUCCUCCUAAAGGGUGUGUAAGUGGGGUAAUGAUACUGGAAAUAGAAACUGAGAUUCUAUGUAAUGCUUACUACUCCCAGCAUGCUGACAGACCUCAUAAGAAUGCCCAUGCCUAGGUAGUAGGCUUUAAAGACUCACACCUUUGUUAACACUGCAGCUCCAUAGCAUAGUUUCUUAUUGAAACCUUAAGAAUAACAUUGAGCCAUAUGCUCCAUCCACUCCCCAGGUGACUGAAACCUUCCCAAAUUCCACUUACCUCAUUGUGAACUGGCAAACUAAUUUGUACUCCCUCAGCCAUGAAAUUUGCUACUCAGAAAACUACAUAUUCAUAAUUUGAGAAACUGGAAUGAUGUGUUGUAACUGACAGAUGAUCUAGUCUCUAGGCACUUAUUGCUUUUGGUUUUACUUAUUGAAGGUGGAAGAGAUUUCUCUCAUUUCAAUGACGGAUUUUUAUAUACUUUUUAUAAUUCUGGUGGCAGUGUGAUAAAAUUAAAAAAUUAUUGAUUCAGUUGCAAAGGACUUCAUUGAUCACCAUGCAUGAUAAACCUGCAUUGUUGUUUACACAUAAUAUACAUAUUUAAAGGCACAAUUCAUUUCAGAGUACACAGCACAAUGUGCGAUCAAAGUACAACCUUUUUUUAAAAAUUUCCCCUUAAAUUACUUUAGGUCAAAAGAAAUGAAAAUAGGUUUGGAAAGUAGUGGUAAGCCAUAUGUUAUCAGAAAUUAAGUAAUUAAAGUUUAUUGCUUUAUAUACUUUAAUGUCAAUUACAAUAAUAAUAAAUAAAGUGAUUAUGUAAUUUUUCAAUUAUUAUAAUCUUUUCAAGGGUCACAAUGCUGCAGUUUCCUCUUUGAUAACUUGGGCAUGAGCUUAGAAACCAUUGUCCUACCUCCUUGUAAGGACCCUCUUUCUAUGAAAAAUAGAUGAGUAGAAUAUUUUGGCCAAAACAUAUAUGUAUUUUAUAGUUUAUCUUUGUAGCACAUAAAAAAUUAUGACAACCUUUUCCCACCAAGUGUUCUCCUUUCUCUGUUCUAACACAAGUAUGUGGUUGAAACUAAUAAAUAAAACUGGAACUCUAGCCCCUGAAAUGAUUAGAGUUUGAAAAUAUUGAAAAAAUAUAUUUAUACUUAAAAGAUUGUUAACUAUUUGACAUAGAAAAGCAGCAGCACACUUUCUGAAGAUUACGGAAGUCAAAUGCACCUAAUAAUAUUGAAUGUAGGCCUGUGAAAACUAGGUCUACUGUGAGAAAGCAAUAACGUGGCUGUUAAAUUGUACUAUUUUGUGUUGAUUAGAGAUUGGAUUUCCUGAAGGAUUGAAAGUUAAAGGAAUAAAAAAAAAAAA
rnacentral:lncRNA from 1 species